rnacentral:ncRNA from 1 species
UCUAUCACAUUGAAGAAGAGUAGUAAAUGAGACUGAAAGCAUAGAGAGCUAAGGGAUGGUGUAACUUAGUGUUUCAAAAUCAUUGAACUUGCUUUGGAGCGAAGCGUAACUCUUGCGAUAAAAGAGAAUAAAGGGCAUGAAGAAAUUCAUGAACUAAGGUGGUACCGCGUGAAAUACGUCCUUAGA